GAUGAAGAACGUAGCGAAAUGCGAUAAGUAAUGUGAAUUGCAGAAUUCAGUGAAUCAUCGAAUCUUUGAACGCACAUUGCGCCCGCUAGUAUUCUGGCGGGCAUGCCUGUCCGAGCGUCAUUUCAACCCUCGAGCCCCCGGGCUUGGUGUUGGGGAUCGGCGAGCCUCCGCGCCCGCCGUCCCCUAAAUCUAGUGGCGGUCUCGCUGUAGCUUCCUCUGCGUAGUAGCACACCUCGCACUGGGAAACAGCGCGGCCACGCCGUUAAACCCCCAACUUCUGAACGUUUGACCUCGGAUCAGGUAGGAAUACCCGCUGAACUUAAGCAUAUCAAUAAGCGGAGGA
rnacentral:misc_RNA from 1 species